rnacentral:rRNA from 1 species
GCUGCGAUACCGUGAGGUGGAGCGAAUCCCUUAAAGCCAGUCUCAGUUCGGAUUGGGGUCUGCAACUCGACCCCAUGAAGUCGGAGUCGCUAGUAAUCGCAGAUCAGCAACGCUGCGGUGAAUACGUUCCCGGGCCUUGUACACACCGCCCGUCACGUCAUGAAAGUCGGUAACACCCGAAGCCGGUGGCCUAACCCCUUGUGGGAGGGAGCUGUCGAAGGUGGGAUCGGCGAUUGGGACGAAGUCGUAACAAGGUAGCCGUACCGGAAGGUGCGGCUGGAUCACCUCCUUUCUAAGGAG